UUGGUGGGAUUCCGGGGGGCUGCUAAAUGCAGUCGACGAUGAUCCGGUGCUUGCACCGGGGAUUAGUGGCGAACGGGUGAGUAACACGUGAGUAACCUGCCCUUGACUCUGGGAUAAGCCUGGGAAACCGGGUCUAAUACCGGAUAUGACUUCCCGCCGCAUGGUGGGGGGUGGAAAGAUUUUUUGGUUUUGGAUGGACUCGCGGCCUAUCAGCUUGUUGGUGGGGUAAUGGCCUACCAAGGCGACGACGGGUAGCCGGCCUGAGAGGGUGACCGGCCACACUGGGACUGAGACACGGCCCAGACUCCUACGGGAGGCAGCAGUGGGGAAAAUUGCACAAUGGGCGCAAGCCUGAUGCAGCGACGCCGCGUGAGGGAUGACGGCCUUCGGGUUGUAAACCUCUUUCAGCAGGGAAGAAGCGGAAGUGACGGUACCUGCAGAAGAAGCGCCGGCUAACUACGUGCCAGCAGCCGCGGUAAU
rnacentral:rRNA from 1 species